AUUCCCCCUCCUUCUUAUAACACAUAAGCAUGGUCAAGGAAAACAAAUUCUAGCAUUAGCCAGGUCUAAAAAUGCUUUGUGUUAUUCUGCUAUAUCCAGGAACUUGAUGAUGGGAGGGUCACUGUCAGCUUGCCUGGUUUCCUUCAGGAAUCAGUUUAAAUUUUCUCUUCUGCAAGAAACCUUUUCCAGUUCCUUUUAAUUAUUGUGCCUUCCAGCUAUGAUUACCUUCAAGCUAUUCUCAACAAUAAAUGGAAAAUCAACAUAACAAACAACCAAGGCCUGAUUUGAAACAUUUGCCUAUUUCUGGGAUAUAACUACUCACACUGAAAAUUUUACAAUCGGCUGUCAUGUCCUGGUUUAAGCUGGUUUCAGUACAUGUCUGCAACAUUAUCUCUCUUCACAGUAGAAAAAUGGAGAACUACUAAGACAGAAUGAGUAUUCAAGCCUUGAUUGCUACUUUGGGUGUUUUUGCUUAAUUACA
rnacentral:lncRNA from 1 species